UCCUACGGGGCGCAGCAGUCGGGAAUAUUGCGCAAUGGAGGAAACUCUGACGCAGUGACGCCGCGUGCAGGAAGAAGGUUUUCGGAUUGUAAACUGCUUUAGACAGGGAAGAAAAAAGACAGUACCUGUAGAAUAAGCUCCGGCUAACUACGUGCCAGCAGCCGCGGUAAUACGUAGGUGGCAAGCGUUGUCCGGAUUUACUGGGUGUAAAGGGCGUGCAGCCGGAGAGACAAGUCAGAUGUGAAAUCCACGGGCUCAACCCGUGAACUGCAUUUGA
rnacentral:rRNA from 1 species